GAUGAACGCUAGCUACAGGCUUAACACAUGCAAGUCGAGGGGUAGCAGGGUAGCAAUACCGCUGACGACCGGCGCACGGGUGAGUAACACGUAUCCAAUCUACCGUUUACUCGGGGAUAGCCUUUCGAAAGAAAGAUUAAUACACGAUAGUAUAAAGAGUUCGCAUGUUCUCUUUAUUAAAGGAUGCCGGUAAAUGUUGGGGAUGCGUUCCAUUAGAUUGUUGGCGUGGUAACGGCCCAACAAGUCUUCGAUGGAUAGGGGUGCUGUGAGGAAGGUCCCCCACAUUGGAACUGAGACACGGUCCAAACUCCUACGGGAGGCAGCAGUGAGGAGUAUUGGUCAAUGGGCGUUAGCCUGAACCAGCCAAGUAGCGUGAAGGAUGACUGCCCUAUGGGUUGUAAACUUCUUUUAUAAGGGAAUAAAACGGGGAACGUGUUCCCCUUUGCAUGUACCUUACGAAUAAGGAUCGGCUAACUCCGUGCCAGCCGCCGCAGUAA
rnacentral:rRNA from 1 species